rnacentral:lncRNA from 1 species
GAUUUGAUAUCUAUUUUGAUAUCUAUGAGUUGAUAUGCAAGUAGAUAAAUCUUAGUUUUUCUCUAAUAAUCUGUUGUCUUAUUUCGCCUAGUCAUAUCUAGCCAUCUUUUAUGUGCUCUAAAUGAGUAAGUGCCAAAGUACUGACAUAAUUCUAAUUUGGAAUGGGACUGUAAGCAUUUCCUAUCAAUUACUUUCUCUGUCUGUACACAUACUAUAUGUACACUGGUUUCCUUUUAAGUAUAUUGUUGUAUCAUCACUA